GGUUCCAAUUGAAGGUAUAUAAGCCAAUUUUGUGCUAUGAUCUGCUCUGACCUUGUAACUCUUCAUCUCAAGGUAAAGAAUGAUAUUUGGCAGUUUGUAUGUUACCACUGCGAGUUUAUUCAUAUGCCUUGUAUUUGGGAUAUAGCUUUGAUUACCACGGCAAAGUUAAGUUGGUUUCCCUUGGGUUUAGUGAUCUAUCUUGGCUUUAGGGUAUAGUUUUGAACACCACCACGUUGUGAAAUUUGUCUGCCUUGGGUUCAUUCAUCGAACUUGCCUUUAGGUUAUAGGUUUGAACUUUGAACACUACCCAUCUUUAUAUUAAUUUCCCUUGGGUUUAGUCUUCUAUUGUGGCUUUAGGGUAUAGUUUUUAACACCACCGCGUGGUGAAAUUGGUUUCCCACAGGUUCAUUCAUCCCACUUGCCUUAUAAGUUAUAGCAAGAAUUAUAAUGAUGUUCUAGUUUCCGAUACUCUUACUAUAUUGCUAAUCUGAAUUUGUGUAGGUGAAACAAAUGUUGAGUUCGCUUCAGUCUUCAUCACAUUUUAAAGCUGAUUGUUAUGGGGAGAUAUAUAGAUGUGGACAAAUCAAGAAGAAUGGAAAGCUUCUCACUUUAUAUCUCAACGAAGCUUAUGGAUCUGGAUUCCAAUCCAAAAACUGAGUAGUUGUUCUGAUAAAAUCGAUGAUCUCACUUGUAAUUGAUUCAUAGUGGAUAAAAAAAAUUCAUGAUUAAAUUUUUAUAUACGAUAAGAAAAUAAAGCUAGUUUCGUGGAUA